UACGUAGGGUGCAAGCGUUGUCCGGAAUUAUUGGGCGUAAAGAGCUCGUAGGCGGUCUGUCGCGUCGGCUGUGAAAUCCCGAGGCUCAACCUCGGGUCUGCAGUCGAUACGGGCAAACUAGAGUAUUGCAGGGGAGACUGGAAUUCCUGGUGUAGCGGUGAAAUGCGCAGAUAUCAGGAGGAACACCGGUGGCGAAGGCGGCCUGCUGGGCAGUGGGGGAGACCCCUUCAAGCUGACACUGAGGCGCGACAGCGUGGGGAGCAAACAGG
rnacentral:rRNA from 1 species